rnacentral:lncRNA from 1 species
GUCUUGCUCCUUAUGUAGGAGUUUACUAGGGCUGCACCUGGGAUUGGCUUUCUCUGCCAGGCCUUUUCUAUUAUCUAAUUCAGCUGUAAGGGAAAAAUAGUGGAUAUAGAUAUUUCAUUCUGAAGGCCAUUCAUGUUAAAAAAUGAUACUCUCUUGGACAAAGGAGACAAUGAUGGAGUGAAAUGCUCUUAUGUGAAAGCCUCUGUCACUCACCAGAAGAAGUUCACCAUCAGUUGAGAGCCCAUGUUAUGUCUCUGGGGAGGAAAGGUAGGUAAAGGAUACAGGAUUGGAAGGUAAGGAACUAAGGUCCUAGCUUUUACUCCCCUAAUGACUUUGUGAUGCUGCACACAUUUCCGAUCUUUUUCUCUCUCUGUGGUUUUUUAAAUUUUCUUGAUAACAUUAGAAUGUUUAGGCUCUUGCCAUAAGUAAAAAUGUUUUCUAUGGAUGUGUGUAUUUGCAUAUUUAUCACAGUCAAAAUAAUCAGUCUCCAAAAAUGCAAAAGAUUGGGUAGGAUUAUGUAACACAUUCUUAAAAUAUUAAAACCUGCACACAUUAAAGCAUCAAGUUAAAUAGUUGUUAACCUGUCUCACUAAUAAUCGCCUGCUUAGAUCCAGUCUGUGAGAGGAAAAGGAAGCAAUAAAUUUGACCUUCACUUACCGCAUGUUUUAAUUGCACAGUACUCCCAGCGGGUGUGAGGGUCAAGAGUAUAGCACCAUGGCCUCGGCUGGCCAUCGGGAUUGCGGCAAUAAUUAUCAUCAAAGCCCUUGUCGGGAUAUCUGCAAACCACACCAAGAAAAGUGUCACGUAAAUCUGCCUGGAAACACCACCCACCCCUCAGCUCACAAAAUAACUUUCCACUUAGGUUGUCUACACCUAGCUGGGGAAAGAGGACGUUUUCUAUGUUUUGCCUUACGAGGACUGCUGAUCACUGACUAUUGAAUCUACUAAUUUAUAUAUCCCACUAAGGACAGAGUAUCAUCCCCUGGCUAAUAAGUUAGGUCUAUGUGGUACCUUUCCACUAGCUGAGGUUCCAAAUCGAGUCUCUUUCUCUUAGAACCCACUUAAGGGCAGAUUACAAAAACAUGACUUCAUGUAGAAUGCUCAUUAAGAAAACAGGUCCUCUUCUAGGGAAGGCUUAAAGUUCAAACUGAAAGUUCAGUUUCAAUAGCGCUGUUACUAAUGAUAACUCAGUUUUGGAAAUAGAGCCCUUCGAGGUCAUGCCCUCACCUUCACCAGAUCAUGAGACAAACUUCAUCACACUACUUUCUCCACACCCCACCUCCCUUCAAAUGAACAGAGUCCUGAAUUGGUGACUUGAUUUUAAUUGCUACCAUAUCCCUUCUGCUCUCACUUAAACGACAAGACAAGCAUUUAUUUGGAAAAUAAGCUGGAGUUUUAAUUUCAUUAAAAAUAACACCAAACAAAAAAGAAUAGAGAAAAAGAACAAAGAAAAAACACCUAACAGCAAUUUCCAAAGAAAGGUGGGGGACGGAAUUUCCUGUGUAAUUAUUUGUAUUUUUAUUCUUUAUAAUCAAAAUAAAUGAACUUCUUCCUUUUUUUUCCACCUUAAAAGUUUCAUGUAAAAUACAUGGGCAAAAGUAGACAUGAUUUUUUUUUUUUUUUUGGCGGAGAUGGGUAAUAAUUUAAGCUCAAAACCUAUUCCUGGGGAUAAAAGAUAGAUUAGUUGCCUGACUUCUCCAAAUUGGCUUUUUAUAUGGGCAAUUUCAAAACACACCAGGACAAAGCAACCUGAAUGGUUUGCUCUACUUUUUACUCCCUAUGACCACUACUUAUGUCAUGCUGUUAUGUGUGUGGCCUGCAGUACCUGAGUCUCUGAAGAUGCUGCUCCAGAAGGAGAUUUGCCUGCAAUUAGUAACAAUACCUCUAAUCACAGCUAAGACUUGUCAAAGUGGUCAUUACUGAAUUGGUCCUGUGGUUUGCUUUGGUUUUGUUUUGUUUCUGCUCUGAGAGAGAAAGAAGCUUCUUUUUGUGCUUCCACUCUAUACCCUGCUGAUGAUUUUGUGUUCAGUACCAUGCUGAUUUUAGAAACUCUGACCAGUUGGCUAUGUAGUCAGUGUUCUCAUGUACCUCAUCAUAAAUCUUUUUGCCCUUAGACUAUUUCCUCCAAAUAUAAUGGCCAGAAAUUCUGUCAGAAGAACUCCUGAACAUUCUGGGAGUUCUAAAUGUUAUGUUCAUGUCCUAUCGGGAAAACAUAAUAUAAAGAGAAUUUCCACAGCAGUGUGUCAUAGAGUGAAUAAUAGUUUGUAAAAGAAUCACUGAAAGCAUGAUUCAUUAAUAUUUUACCUUUCAGGCAAGAAUUUGUGCCGGUGUGGUGUCUGAUGAUCCCAGCGCUGACAAAUCUUGCCUGAUUCUGUAUGAUCCAUGAGACCUCGAUAACUCUCCCCAUUGCAGGUCAUGCAUUCAACUAAUAAAAUUAAAGUAUGGCAUGUUAAUUGUUUCUGACAGCAAAAUCA